rnacentral:rRNA from 1 species
UAGACUUCGGUCUGCUACCUCUUACCCAUGUCUUUUGAGUACCUUCGUUUCCUCGGCGGGUCCGCCCGCCGAUUGGACAACAUUCAAACCCUUUGCAGUUGCAAUCAGCGUCUGAAAAAACAUAAUAGUUACAACUUUCAACAACGGAUCUCUUGGUUCUGGCAUCGAUGAAGAACGCAGCGAAAUGCGAUAAGUAGUGUGAAUUGCAGAAUUCAGUGAAUCAUCGAAUCUUUGAACGCACAUUGCGCCCCUUGGUAUUCCAUGGGGCAUGCCUGUUCGAGCGUCAUUUGUACCUUCAAGCUCUGCUUGGUGUUGGGUGUUUGUCUCGCCUCUGCGUGUAGACUCGCCUUAAAACAAUUGGCAGCCGGCGUAUUGAUUUCGGAGCGCAGUACAUCUCGCGCUUUGCACUCAUAACGACGACGUCCAAAAGUACAUUUUUACACUCUUGACCUCGGAUCAGGUAGGGAUACCCGCUGAACUUAAGCAUAUCAAUAAGCGGGGGAAAAAGAAACUG